rnacentral:rRNA from 1 species
AUUGUACGCUGGCGGCAGGCCUAACACAUGCAAGUCGAGCGGAUGAAGGGAGCUUGCUCCUGGAUUCAGCGGCGGACGGGUGUGUAAUGCCUAGGAAUCUGCCUGGUAGUGGGGGAUAACGUCCGGAAACGGGCGCUAAUACCGCAUACGUCCUGAGGGAGAAAGUGGGGGAUCUUCGGACCUCACGCUAUCAGAUGAGCCUAGGUCGGAUUAGCUAGUUGGUGGGGUAAAGGCCUACCAAGGCGACGAUCCGUAACUGGUCUGAGAGGAUGAUCAGUCACACUGGAACUGAGACACGGUCCAGACUCCUACGGGAGGCAGCAGUGGGGAAUAUUGGACAAUGGGCGAAAGCCUGAUCCAGCCAUGCCGCGUGUGUGAAGAAGGUCUUCGGAUUGUAAAGCACUUUAAGUUGGGAGGAAGGGCAGUAAGUUAAUACCUUGCUGUUUUGACGUUACCAACAGAAUAAGCACCGGCUAACUUCGUG